rnacentral:rRNA from 1 species
UACGGAGGGUGCAAGCGUUAUCCGGAUUCACUGGGUUUAAAGGGUGCGUAGGUGGGCUGGUAAGUCAGUGGUGAAAUCUCCAGGCUUAACUUGGAAACUGCCAUUGAUACUAUUAGUCUUGAAUACCGUGGAGGUCAGCGGAAUAUGUCAUGUAGCGGUGAAAUGCUUAGAUAUGACAUAGAACACCAAUUGCGUAGGCAGCUUACUACACGAUCAUUGACGCUGAGGCACGAAAGCGUGGGGAGCAAACAGGA